CCCUAACUAAUGACUGGCAGAUAGUCUAACUACCUCAGCUCCUUUGCACCUGAUGAAGACAACUCCAAGCCUGGCGACCAGGAAUAAUGGUCACUAAGACACUGGAGACCCAGGAGGUGGGCAAUUUGCCCCGAGGAUGAAGAAUGUCAUUUCCAGCAGUCAAGAGGAACCUACGUAGGCCCGGCUGGGGAACCUGCCUGGUGAGGAAGGUUACAGAAACCGUCUGGGGCUGGAAGAGCCACUGGUGUCCCAGAAAGAGCACUGGGCGUCCAACUUGCCAUCAAGACAAAGAGGAAAACUGGAAACCGCAGACACAAGGUCAAGUCAACAUGAGCAAGAGUCAGGCAGAAAACAGAGUGGAGGAAGGCCCAAGAGCAGGGUAGAACAAAGAGGCCCAAGAACACCGCCACCACGGGCUGAAGAGCUGCAGCCCACUGUGACCUCUUGCUAAUCGGUUUCCUAGGUGUCUGUCCAACUAGAAGGUACAGGGUAGAAGCAUAAGAAUUCCACCAAAAGUGAUCAUAGAAAACAGAGUCAUAGAAAAGAGAACCACCCACCCCCUACGUAAAGUAAAAGAGCCUGUCUACUGAUUCUCCCUUAAACUAUACAUUGUCCUACAAUAGCUUGCAUUCAUUUUCCUGGAGAGCACACUUGUCCCACAAGAAGAGAAUGGCUCAAGGGGCCCCAUCCAAACUCCUUGCCUCUUAUGUUCACAGCAUCCACAUCUCAUCUCUUCAACUGGAUUCAUCAGAAACAUUUGCUUCUGCAAAUAAAGACUGAGGUCAUGACUGAGCAGAGAAAACGCUGGAUCUUUCUCAAACCGGUUCAUGGAGUCCCAGACUUAGUCUUUUCCCCCCGCCACCCAGACUUCAUCUUCUUCAUUAGUGACCUUCUCAAAGAAUAUGAUGUGGAGUUGACUUUUGAACAUAGAGCAUGAAUGUUCUCAUGUCGACAAUCCAUUUCUGGACACUCAAAAUAUUUUAAAAAUAGUGUAAGUUACAAGUGUACUGUGCUUUAGAGGGUGUGAUAAAAUUUAAAUCUAAACCUAUAUGAAGGUUUGGUUGUAUAUGAAGUUGGUGUAUAAAUAUAUUGGCAUGUGGGUAUUCUUCUAGCCUCAGAAGGAUUGAUUAGGCAUUUCCAUUAGUGAAUACACUGAGAGCAUUUAAAAUAACAUUUGAUCUACAAGCAACUUCUUGGGGAAAUGGGUAUUGAAUAAAAGAAGAAACACCUAUAGCUGCAAGAAAAAUAUUUAAUGAUUUGCUUACUAUCAUCACUGAUUUCCUUAAAGUCCUUAAAAAUCAUGUUUAAUAUUAACCAACAAAAUUAUCAUACAAUGGCCACGAAAUGAGCAUUACUUCUUUUAAGACACAUGCAUGAGGAAAUUUUUAAUUUCCAAGUUAGUGACAGCACUGGCAUUUUUAGAACUUCUACUCUUAUGAAGUCACAUGCUACUCCAUGAGGAUAUUGAUUAUUUCUAUCAGAAAGGAAAAGGUAAGACACUUGGAAGACUAAGGUAAAGAUGCAAACAUGUUGCUGACUUUGCUGUAUUUUACCCUUGAUCUGUCCUUGAAUUUGAAUCCAUAGAAAAUGUAAGCUUGCAACCACCUGGGGCAGGAAAAGUUUUGUUGGUGCUUUGAGAUGAAGUCUGAGGAGGUCCUACACCAGGAAGAAAAUUCCAGCCUGAAUGCUUGGGAUUUCUCUUCAUGUCGUUGCUUCUAACACCCCUUAGGAAAAGCAAAUGGCCUCUCACUCACAAACCAGACCUGUGGGCAAACACUGGGGCUCUGUCACAGCUCGUGUGUCAGACAGCUGUGUGCAGGCAGUGAGAGAAAGGGGCUGGUGCAGGAACCACAAAGCAGGACACAGGCUGAUGAACUCUAAAAUAAUUAGGCUUUUCUAUUGGUAUGCGUUAGACAAGUAUGUAAGUAGUACAUCGUGACCAUGAUUUUAUGGAUAUUAUUGCUUAAGAUGAGACUAAGGAAGGAAUUUUUUUUUUUUAAGAUUUUAUUUAUUUAUUUGACAGAGAGAG